GCGGCAGGGAUUAGGUCCGAGCUCUGUGCAGGCCAGUCAAGUUCUUCCACACCAAACUGAGAGAACCAUUUCCUUAUGGAGCUGGCUUUGUGCACGGGGGUCGUUGUCACGUUGAAACAGGAAAGGGACAAACGCAAUCUGUUGUUAC